GAGAGAUAGAGAGAAGGAGAAGGAAAGGAGAAGGCAAGACAUUUUAAGGAUUGAUGAUUGAAUAUUAUGCCGCAUGGUUUGCCUCCACUACGCGCGUAGUGGUUGGCCUUUUUCAUGUAGUUCUCAAUGUCUCUGACAUUUUGGGACGAUAGGCACCUUCUUUUUAAGGAGGGGAGUCUUAUUCUGACGGCAAUGUACUUUUGGCCAGGUAUAACCUCAAUUUAGGCUUCAGCUAGCGGUAAUAAGGGAGUUGGGAGCCAUAAGGGUGAGGUUGGGAAAUGUAUCACUAUUGUUUUAAUUUGACAUUGAUUUAAAAAUUGUUAUAAAAUUAUGAAUAUUGCAUUUCUUGUUUUAUGUGUUAAUUGUGAAAUGUAUAUGUAUAUCUAUGGAUAUGGUUGUGAAAUGAUUUCAAGAAGUAUGUUGGUAUAUGUUAGAAUAACCAACUGUUACUGAGAUUUUUAAAUCUCACAUGUUAUUUCUUAUCAUUUUUGGUGAGCAGUCAAGUGGAGCUACAGGGAGGGCACCGAAGAAGUGAGCUUAGGCUCCUUUCUCUCGACUUGGCACGUGGUUUUCUAUUUAUUUUGUAAUUAUAAUUGUCAUGACAUAAGGACCCUUGUAAAUUUUAUUUUGAAUAAUUGUUAUAUGUUAGUUGAUUAUAACUACUUAAUCUUUUUGUUUGAGUUGGAUAACUUUUAAAUACGUUAAUCUAGACCAUGUUUUUUUUUA